GACAGAGGGGGCAAGCGUUGCUCGGAAUCACUGGGCGUAAAGGGCGCGUAGGCGGGAUGGCAAGUCGGUCGUGAAAUCCUUCGGCUCAACCGAAGAACGUCGGCCGAUACUGCCGUUCUUGAGGGAUGCAGAGGAGAUUGGAAUUCCCGGUGUAGCGGUGAAAUGUGUAGAGAUCGGGAGGAACACCGGUGGCGAAGGCGGUUCUCUGGGCCUGUACUGACGCUGAGGAGCGAAAGCGUGGGGAGCGAACAGG
rnacentral:rRNA from 1 species